GAAAUUUACAAUGCCUAGGUGGUUUGAUGUUCCAUGUUCAUCACUUUUGCGAAUACUUUGAUAGGACUAAAUGAAUAACAGAACCCUUUGUGCUCUAUAUGAUUUACCGAGAGGAUUGGGCUAGGAGUUAGUUUAAUUUGUAUGUUAGGACAAAGAUGAUUCAGUGAUGAAAUUACAGUUGCUAAUUCAAUGUAUAGAUCCUACUCUGUACACAUUGACAUUCUUAUCAGCAAUUUAAUAUGUCCUAUCUUUUUGACCUCGGAACAGUAGGGGAGCCCCCUAUGGUAUUUUAAUAUGACCUAUCUCAUUCGCCGUUAUUUCUGCUGAAGAUUAUUUGAAAUUAUCAGGCAGUGGCCCUCUUCAAGUCCUACUUUGGUGGAACUUUUGAUCAAGAUGCUAUCAGGAAUAACUUGGUGCUAAUAUACAAACUUCUUGAUGUGCAGAGAUUAUGGACUUUGGUUAUCCUUAGAAUCUCUCACCUAAAUUUUUGAAGUUAUACAUAACCCAGGAACGUGUACGGUCGCCAUUUUCCUCCAAGCCUUCAGAUAAGCCUGUUCUAAAUGCGACCCUGCAAGUUAUCGGUGUUGUUGGUUGGAGAAGAGAUGGUAUUGUGUACAAGAAGAAUGAGGUUUUCUUGGACAUUAUUGAGAGCAUAAACCUUCUUAUGUCUUCUAAAGGGAUUUUAUGGACCAUCAAAUUUUACUUAUCUGGUCUGAGGUUUCUCGUGUCUUUCCUGUUCAGCUAUUUGAUGUCCAUUGUGUAUAUUUCUUACAUUUCUGCAGGGCGUGUUCUAUGAUGUGACGUGACUGGAAAGAUUCCAAUGAAGUGUUUCCUUUAUGGAAUGCGCCUAUCUGAAGUUGGGAAUAAAUGCCAAAAUUUAAAUGGCUUAGUAACAUCAUUUUUUCUUUGGGAUGU